UAUGCGUUCUUUAACACUUAGAAAUGAAGCACGAUCAACUUUAAAACAUAAUGCCAACUGGCUUCCAGGAGUUGCAUUUUUGAUUUAAGAACAAGUCUUGUUUAAUUCUUUAACAGCAUGCACCAGAUCUGUCAUUUCUGGAAUCUUGUGCGAAUUGUGUAUCAACUUGAGGGGCCACUCACGGACUUGUCAUCUGCUCUCACCAGGACUUCAGAGGAUCUCAAUGCUGCUGUUCUCACAGCCUGACAGGGACAAAAUAACAGGAAACUUGCAAAUUUGUCUUUAUUCUUGCUUAUGGUAUGGCUAGAAAAUGUUUGAAUUAAUAUGAGAAAUAUAAAGAUCUAUCAUAACCUCCUUUUUUGUAGGUGGGGCUACUUUUCCUUCCUUAAUAGUUACCCUUCUGCUGAGGCCCCCUAUGGGAAACACCAAUCUUUAAGGGACUUAAUCCCUUUUUCCAAACUUCCCUGGGCCAGUGCCCAAAUGGUCUAUACAUUGUCUGUUAAAUCAAAGAAACCAGCUUUCUUGUUUUUCUCUAUGGUUUCUUCCCAUGCAAUUGACAUCUUACAGUGCAACAUGGAAAUUUGAAAUAAAGGCACACCAUUGCACAUCUAA